rnacentral:rRNA from 1 species
CCUACGGGAGGCAGCAGUGGGGAAUAUUGCACAAUGGGGGAAACCCUGAUGCAGCGACGCCGCGUGAGCGAUGAAGUAUUUCGGUAUGUAAAGCUCUAUCAGCAGGGAAGAAAAUGACGGUACCUGAGUAAGAAGCCCCGGCUAACUACGUGCCAGCAGCCGCGGUAAUACGUAGGGGGCAAGCGUUAUCCGGAUUUACUGGGUGUAAAGGGAGCGUAGACGGCAGUGCAAGUCUGGAGUGAAAGGCGGGGGCUCAACCCCCGGACUGCUCUGGAAACUGUACGGCUGGAGUGCAGGAGAGGUAAGUGGAAUUCCUGGUGUAGCGGUGAAAUGCGUAGAUAUCAGGAGGAACACCAGUGGCGAAGGCGGCUUACUGGACUGUAACUGACGUUGAGGCUCGAAAGCGUGGGGAGCAAACAGGAUUAGAUACCCGUGUAGUC